UACAGAGGGGGCGAGCGUUGUUCGGAAUUACUGGGCGUAAAGGGCGCGUAGGCGGCUUGACAAGUCAAAGGUGAAAUCCCUCGGCUCAACUGAGGAACUGCCUUUGAAACUGUCUGGCUUGAGGCCGGGAGGGGGUAGCGGAAUUCCCAGUGUAGCGGUGAAAUGCGUAGAUAUUGGGAGGAACACCAGUGGCGAAGGCGGCUACCUGGACCGGUUCUGACGCUGAUGCGCGAAAGCUAGGGGAGCGAACAGG
rnacentral:rRNA from 1 species